UACGUAGGUGGCAAGCGUUGUCCGGAUUUACUGGGCGUAAAGAGCGCGCAGGCGGUCGGAUAAGUCGAAUGUGAAAGCCCCCGGCUCAACUGGGGAGGGUCAUUCGAUACUGUUCGACUCGAAGGCAGGAGAGGGAAGUGGAAUUCCCGGUGUAGUGGUGAAAUGCGUAGAUAUUGGGAAGAACAUCAGUGGCGAAGGCGGUCUGCUGGGCCGUUGCUGACGCUGAGGCGCGACAGCGUGGGGAGCAAACAGG
rnacentral:rRNA from 1 species